CUGGUCUCGAACUCUUGACGUCAGGUGAUCCACCCGCCCUGGCCAGCCAAAAUGAUGGGAUCAGAGGCGUGAGCCAUCGCGCCCGACUGAUCUUUUAGGAUUUCAGCAUUUGGGACUACGGCAUUCGUGAUUGUGUCUUUUGGAAUUAUGAUUGGCUCCCAUUGUAAAGGCUAAAUGAAAUAAUGAAAUACGGUGGCACAGUGGCUGACAUACAGUAGGUGCUCUAAAAAUGGCGUGACACUUUAUGUGCACAGGUUAUCUGUGUCUGCCAGUGGAAUGUAAGAUCUCUGAAGGGAGAGGUUUUAUGUAACUUAUGCAGUGCUGAAGCUAUAGCACCUAGAAAAAUAUCUGACACUUUGUUGAAUGAGUUUACAGAAUAAUAGGAUCAAUGUGGCAAGUUUAUAAGCGAUGAGAGAGACCUGAAUAUGAUUAAAUAGUGAUAAGAAGGAAACAGUGAAGAGAAUGAAGAUCCGGGUUCCUGCAGAGGUGACAGAGGUUGGAGAAUCAGGGCUCAGGGGAAGGAACUGACCUCAGAAAGAAGACAGUACACAAGUGCCAGGACUUGAUGACUCAUUAGAUAUCUGGUUGAGAGGGGAAGGAGAAAGAAUAACUCCCAGAUUUCUUGCUUGGGUGAGAAUGGAUAGUGGUGCCAUUUCCUGAAAUAAGAACAUAGGCUGAUUAGAUUUGUUGGAAAUUCGGUGAGUUGGAUACACUGAACUUGAGAUGCUUUUGAGUCAUCCAAGUGGAGCUGUCCAGCAGGAAGUUUGGUAUUUGGGUCUAGAGAUCAGUAGAGAUGUGGGCUAGAGAGAUUGAGAGUCAUCAGCACAUACGAUGUUAGCUAAAGCAGUGGAGUGAGAAGAGAGGAGAGCUAUAACUGAAACCCGGCAAACACCAACAUGUAAGGACGGGUACAGGAAAAGAAGAUCUCCUGCAAUAGAGACUGAGAAGGAACAGAGAGGUAGGAGAACUGGGAGGGAGUUUGAACAAAGAAUUAAGGAGAAGAGAGAGUUUCAAAAUGGAGGAAGAGAUCAAUACUGCCAAAUGCUUCAGAGACAUCAUAAAAAGAGAAGGACUAUCUAUCUGUCGGAUUUGUCAGUGCUUUUUGGUGGUCUGGAUUAGAGCAUUCUGAGGAGGAGAGAAGCGAGAGUGGAGGCCAGACUACAUGGAUUAAGACUUAGAGGGACAUGAGGGAGCGGAGAAGGUAACUGUAGCAAGUCUUGCACAUUCCUGGUGGGGGUAUGGGAGUGCCCAGUGUGCUCUCAGCCUAGAAGGACAACGAUUCUGCAGAAGUAGAGAAGUAGAUGGUAUUCUAUUCUCCUCCGUAAUUUAUGGUAUGGGACAAAAUUUGUCAAGGAUGCCUCUCAAUCUUACCACUCCUCCCUGGUGUUGUAGUGAUAAAAAUCCCAGAAUCUUUUUCUGGAAGGGCAGAGACGGAGGGGCUUUGUAAUGUGGGGAUACCAGAUACUCAGCUACACUGGCCAGGAGCCCACAAGCUUUCAAAGUCCCCAGGGCAGUGCAAUAGGUCUCCUGUACCUUCUCAUGCAAGGGUCCCAAAUCAGGCAGCUGGGACUGUGUGUCAACUCUCUAGACUUCCUGCUUCAGAGCUCUGCAAAGUUUCAAGGGCCAUCUUUGCACCUGGAAACUCAGCCAGCUUGGACCACAGCAAUGAUUCCUUAGCAGUAUGUGAAUCACAGACGCACAGUCACAGAUACACACUACACACCCCAGCCUUCCUAAAACAAAAUGCAUCUCAAGAGAAGUGUGGUUUUCCUCUGUAGAGCUGGGUAAGGGAACCAUUUCCACAUCAGCACCUCAUUAGCUACUACCAGGCAUCUGGUAGGCCUCGGUACUUUGGCCACUAGCCAGCCUGCCCAUGAAACAGCAGCUGUGAGAGGAAGUAGAGAGCGGUUGUUAAAUAUGUGGGCUUAGGUUCAAAACCUAGUUUUAUCACUUCCUAUCUGUGUGACCUCGGGCAAACUGCUUGACUUCUCGAUGCCUCUAGUUCCUCGUAUUUAAAACUUGACUAACAAGGGUUAGUCUCAUUAUACAAUUGUUGGGAGAAUUAAAACAGAAGAAAUAGGAAAAAGUUUCAGCACGGGACCUCAUCCAAAGUAAACAUCAGUAGGUGUGAGCUAUCAUUGUCACUGCUGCUAGUAUCACUCUGCAGCACGGACGUGGCAUGGAUUAGGGCUCUGCUUUCUGCUGAAACUGUUGGCCACAGGCUUAGCCUGUAGGCACCUCACUUUCUCCCAAUACUGAGUGGCCCCACUGACCACCAACUAAAAGAUAUGACACUCAAUCAUGUCUUUCACCAAAGCACAAACAGCCACUCAAAUGUAUGAGGCAAAAUAUUCGCAGGAAAAUGGGGUAUGCCAAUUAUGUGUCAAUUUAGGUUUUACGAGUUAUAUUUUUUCUUUUUAAAGAAAACAUUCAAAAUGUUUACUGUGACCUACUCUAGGAUCUUUAUUUUUCUUCCUGAAAAAUAACUUAUCUAAUUAUAAAGAAAGCUACUGAGAAAACAGAAUUCACUCAAUUGUCUAACAUUAAAUGUUGUUGAAAUGAUCUAACAUUUAUGGCCCCAAGACACAUCCUCUCAUUUCAUUCUCGACUAAUGAGUGAAGUAAGGCUCAGACUUUUCCAAGAUCACGCAGCCUGUGAAGUGAGAAAGCUGUGAGAACUUUCAGUCUCCAAAUCUUCAUCUCCUUUCAAUCUAUCAUAUAUUGGAAUAUGUCACAAUAGUUUUCUUCAGUAACUCUCUCCACUAAAAGAGUGUCUUAUCAACAUUUCCCACAUCCUUACACUCUCAACCUCUGGAGGGCAGAAUUAAUUUCCAUUCGCAAUACAAAUGCCAAGUGUCUACUGUGUGCUAAAGGCUCUGCUAGGUGUUGGCGGCCAUGAAUAGACCAUGCCUCUGUGCGAGAAGUUCACAGUCUCUAUGGGAGAAGAAAUACCAGCCAAUAGUUAUGUACAUAAUAACAAAGCUAUGUGUGAGGCACUGCGGUGGUGCACAGGGUAGGGGAAAGAGUAAUGGAGUGUAUUUCUAGGUAAGGGAAGACUUUGCAUUCCAUGAGACCAAACAGAUCGAAAAGCCCUAACUCAAAAUUUAGAGUAAAACAAGUGCUCAAUAAAUCUGAGUUCCUUUGGACCUACUGCCAUCCCCUCCCCAUCUCUCUAAUUAGAGGAAGAUGUAUCCAAGUGAGCAAUAUUCGAGGGAGAAAAGGAGGCCUUUUCAGCAGAGAGUACAAAAGUGUGACAGCAAACAGGCUAGCUUCCCAGAGAAGCAGGACUUUGGUCUGGACGGGCGGGCACAUCGGCACCCCUUCCUUUACACUGCCUGCUCCCUAGUCUGCACCUAGGGAUGGGAGUCAAUGACUAGGUGGGUCAUUCAGGGAAGAGUGAACCAUAGGAAAAGAGAAUGUAUGCUUCACACAGCAUUUGGGAAUUUUUUUUAAAAGGUAAGAUUUAGGUCAAGCCUAAGCCUGGUGCGAGGGGUGCACCUAGCAGAGCACUAGCAGUCCUGCACCAAGUUUGGGAUUUGGGGUUGGUGCGACAAGUCACGUGGUUGGCGCGUGGCAGUGUGCGGGGCAUUGGGUCUGUGGGUCUGGGACUCUAGUGGCACUGGCGGUGGCGUGGGACUGAGGCUAGGCACGUGUGCAGGGUCAUGUUCUGGCAGCUUCGAACCCAUGCAAUGGUGAUGCCAGUCAAUGGGGCCCACAAGGAUGCUGACCUGUGGUCCUCACAUGACAAGAUGCUGGCACAGCCCCUCAAAGACAGUGAUGUUGAGGUUUACAACAUCAUUAAGAAGGAGAGUACUGGCAGAGGGUUGGAUUGCAGCUGAUUACCUCAGAGAAAUUUGCCAGCCGAGCAGUUUUGGAGGCCCUAGGCUCUUGCUUAAAUAACAAAUACUCUGAGGGGUACCCGGGCCAGAGAUACUAAGGCAGGACUGAGUUUACUGAUGAGCUGGAAACCCUCUGUCAGAAGCGAGCCCUGCAGGCCUAUAAGCUGGACCCACAGUGCUGGGGGGCUCAACGUCCAGCCUUGCUCAGGCUCCCCUGCAAACUUCGAGUGUACACUGGGCCUGGACCUGCCAGAUGGGGGCCACCUGACCCACGGGUUCAUGACAGACAAGAAGAAAAUCUCUGCCACAUCCAUCUUCUUUGAAUCUAUGCCCUAUAAGGUGAACCUAGACACUGGCUACAUCAACUAUGACCAGCUGGAGGAGAAUGCCCGCCUUUUCCACCUGAAGCUGAUCACUGCAGGAACCAGCUGCUGCUCCUAAAACCUGGACUAUGCCCGCCUGCGGAAAGACUGUAGAUGAGAAUGGAGUGUAUCUCAUGGUGGACAUGGCACAUAUCAGCAGGCUGGUGGCAGCUGGCGUGGUGCCCUCCCCAUUUAAACACUGCCACAUGCUGACCACCACCACUCACAAGAACCUGAGAGGCUGCUGAGCCGGCAUGAUCUACGGGAAAGGAGUGCAACGUAUGGAUCCCAAGACUGGCAAAGAGAUUCUGUACUACCUGGAGUCUCUCAUCAACUCUGCUGUGUUCCCUGGCCUUCAGGGAGGUCCCCACAACCAUGCCAUUGCUGGGGUUGCUGUGACCCUGAAGCAAGCUGUGACUCUGGAAUUUGAAGUUUAUCAGCACCAGGUGGUGGCCAACUGCAGGGCUCUGUCUGAGGCACUGACGGAGCUGGGCUGCAAAACAGUCACAGGUGGUUCUGACAACCAUUUGAUCUCCAUUCAAUCAAAGGCACAGAUGGCAGAAGGGCUGAGAAGGUCCUAGAAGCCUGUUCUAUUGCCUGCAACAAGAACACCUGCCCAGGUGACAGAAGCGCUCCACGGCCCAGUGGACUGCGGCUGGGGACCCCAGCACUGACAUCCCUCGGACUUUUGGAAAAAGACUUCCAAAAAGUAGCCCACUUUAUCCACACAGGGUUAAAGCUAACCCCUGCAGAUCUACAGCAACGCUGGCACUGGAGCCACCCUGAAAGAGUUCAAGGAGAGACUGGCAGGGGAUAAAUACCAGGGGGGCGUGCAGGCUCUCUGGGAGGAGGUCGAGAGCUUCACUCUCUCUUCCCUCUGCCUGGCCUGCCUAACUUCUAAAGCAGCCGGCCCACCCUGGACGCACCUGGCGCCACAGAGGAAGCUGCCUGCUGGAGGACCCCCUUGAGAGAUGUACAAACUGCCCCACAAGGGACCUACUGGCGCUUCUGUCCUUUGAGGGGGCUUCUUUUGGACUUUUUUCAUGUUUUCUUCAUAAAUCAAAAUUUGUUUAAGUCUUAUUGUUAGUAAUUCUGGGACAGGUUAUUAGAAGUUUUUAAUUUGAACCUGGCUUUCUCACAGCUGGAUAAAAUUAUUCUAGAAAAAUAAAAUACUGUGUAGCCAUUUAGACCAUUUAGACCAUGGUGUAGGGCAAAGCUAUUAGAAAGCUAUUAGAAAGAUUCUAGCGUUUUCCUCUCCGUGGACUUUCCUUUGCCUUGCUGCAGCAGAGAGGAAAUGCCCCUGUCCACAGCUUGUACACACUGCCACUCUUACUAUCUUGUUACCCAGCAGCAUGCCAAAGGAGAACGGAAUUCGCCUCGAAGCCUCUGCUGUGUGCCGUAAAUCAGAAGUGUACAUUAGUCAAGUGUACACAAGGUGCACCCAGUAUGGUGGGAGGGUUUUGCUGUCAGUAGCUCAAAGUAUGGUGUAGAAAGGGUCUCCUCCCUCCAUCCUGGGGAAUCCCAGUCCCAUCCUGGUGUGAGAAUCAACCAUUCCUGCUCCACCUGAGAUAACCAACUCCCUCCCAUAAUCAGGAAACCAAAUGUCACCUUCCCAAAGAAA